AGAAAUUGGGAAUCUCUGAGGAGACAGGACACACUGCAGGCUCUGUCUUUCUUGUCCCGCUGAGGUGCUGAGAAAACAGGAGCUGCUGCUGCUGCUAAGUCGCUUCAGUCGUGUCCGACCCUGUGCGACCCCAUAGACGGCAGCCCACCAGGCUCCCCUGUCCCUGGGAUUCUCAAGGCAAGAACACUGGAGUGGGUUGCCAUUUCCUUCUCCAAUGCAGGAAAGUGAAAAGUGAAAGUGAAGUCGCUCAGUCGUGUCUUGACUCCUAGCGACCCCAUGGACUGCAGCCUACCAGGCUCCUCUGUCCAUGGGAUUUUCCAGGCAAGAGUACUGGAGUGGGGUGCCAUUGCCUUCUCCGGAGAAAACAGGAGAGCUGGGCUGAAAGACGAGGGGCAGCUCUGUUCCCUUCCGAGGAGAGAGUCGAGUGGAAGGAGAGCACAGCAGCAACCUCACUUGCUGCCCAUUGACUUUUUGUCUGAUCCCUGUGCCCUGGAAUCAAUUCACCAGGUGUACCUGCCUCCCUACUCAACCUGAAUGUGCUGGAAAAUUGGAAUGAUUACCAGGUAGCCCACCUGAGGGGUCUCCAGGAGCCCCAGGGAGGUGAACCUGGCGGGGGACAGACUAGGAGCCUGACCGCAGCACUGACCCCUGGGAGGGCCAGGGAAGCCCACUCAGAGGAGAGCACGGUUCCCAGAGAAGUCUGCCCAGCCCCAGAGCCCAGACAUCUGAGCACUGACGUUCAGACGCAGGCACGGAGUUUCCCAGACAGAGGCCAGGCCAGGCCUGCACCCGGGUCCCCACGUCCCAGCGCACACAGAACAGUCAGGCCUAAAUGUCCUCACUGCAGAAAGCACACGGUCUCAUCUCUCAACAUCAUCAGUGUAGACAGGACUUAGAGAGGUCUAAAUCUACCAUGUAGACAGAACUUGGUCAAGUUCAGACUAGUUUAGGGCUGGUCUCCCAGCAGGCACAGGUCACACACAUGUAAGGUCUCUCAUCGUUGGACAGGGGCUCACCCUCAUGUGGGAACUAGGAUGUACAUUUCUUGAAGAAGAAAUCAUCACUGGGCUCCACACUUCACCCACAUCAGGAAACUGAAAGGAUCUGUAU
ensembl:lncRNA